CCUACGGGAGGCAGCAGUGAGGAAUAUUGGUCAAUGGCCGGGAGGCUGCACCCGCCAAGUCGCGUGAGGAAAGACGGCCUUACGGGUUGUAAUCCUCUUUUGUCAGGGAGCAAGGUGCAGGUCGGGACCUGCUGUGCGAGUACCUGAUGCAAAAGCAUCGGCUAACUCCGUGUCAGCCGCCGCGGUAAUACGGGGUAUGCGAGCGUUAUCCGGAUUUAUUGGGUUUAAAGGGUGCGCAGGCGGUGGCACAAUUCAGCGGUAAAGUCGGGGGGCGCAACCCCGCUCCGCCGUUGAAACUGGCGUUCUUGAGUGAGCGAGAAGUAUGCGGAAUGCGUGGUGUAGCGGGGAAAUGCAUAGAUAUCACGCAGAACUCCGAUUGCGAAGGCAGCAUACCGGCGCUCAACUGACGCUCAUGCACGAAAGCGUGAGUAUAGAACAGGAUGAGAUACCCCUGUAGUC
rnacentral:rRNA from 1 species